UUUUGGCGAGGGGAGAGUUGUUGUUAUGUAACACUGAAGAUCUAACCCAGGGGUGCUUUACUACUCAGCUAAAUCCCCAGUCCUUUUUAUUUUGAGAGUAAUAAGUUGGUGAGGAUUUCGCUAGUUACUAAGGCUGUCUUCAAAUGCAUGAUCUUCCUGUCUCAACCUACAGGGUCGCUGGGAUUACAGGUAAGCACCACCAUGCCUGAUUUCCUACUGCUCCUUACAAAAACUUGAGCUGAAUUCUUCUAGUUUUAUUUAUGAAAAAUUCCAUGUAGAAAAAAAGAAAUUUUGAAUUUCUGAAAAAGAAUGCUCAUUAUAAGAAUUACUUAGAUUUCAAGUCUUAAAAGAACUUUAGUCCUUGCUCUAAGUGUCACACAGAAUGCACUUCACAUUAUGUACUGCUUUUCAUAGCUAAAAAUCAGGUGGGUGUGUGAUACAAGACUUAAAUCUGACUGUAUUUUAACACAAAUAAGCAAAUAUUUUCUGAUAGCUCCAACAGUCUAAACUACCAAUACUAGACUCCCUAAGGCUAAAGAAAAAGAAGAUUCAAUUAAUUGGUGAUGGCCAGAAGACAUGGAAGUUAAUUAACUUGGAAGAAAAGCCAUAAUCCAGAAAUUGAAAGAGAAAAGAGGGGGCUCUAGAAUUAAUUGUUCUCUUGGCUUCAGCUUUCACCCCUGUACUGUGGGAAGCUGUAGCUUAUGAUAGGGGCAUAAUCAAACUCUUUAUAUCAUACAGACAAUUUUUAACCUAUGUCAUGAACAGCAAAAGUAAAAGUUUCAAACUGCAUAUAAAUAAAAGGGUAAAUUUUGUAGAUUAUGCAUAAAGAAAAUGAUAGAAUAUAAGAAAUUCUUUUCUUCCAAAGGGCCGGGCUGGGUGUAUUAGCACAUGCCUAUAAUCCCAGUGGCUCAAGAGGUUGAGGCCCUAAGCAAUUUAGCAAGAUUCUGUCUCAAAAUAAAAAAUAAAACCGACUGGGGAAUGUGGCUCAGUAGUUAAAUGAUCCUGUGUUCAAUUGCUGGUACUUAAAAAAAAAAAAAAAAAGCCAGAUUCACUGUCUAAAUAAUUGUGCUUUAUUCCCUAAUCUCUCUCAAGGAGAAAUUAAGAGAAACAAGCACAUAAGAGAAAUAACCUUUUCUUAAAUUAAAAAAAAAAAUUAUGUGUGAAAAUUGAAUCAAAAUGGCUGAUUAGGAAAAUACAGCUUUCUCUGCUAAACCCACAAAAUGAGUCCAGACACAUAAAAUUACAAUUAUAAAAUAAAAUUCUUUUAAAAAAUAAGGCAUUCAAAGUACAUGUAGGAAGACACAAAUUGGUGUGACUAUACUUUAUAUACAACCAGAGAUAUGAAAAAUUGUGCUGUAUAUGUGUAAUAUGCAUUACACUGUCAUAUAUAAGUUUAAAAAAUUAAUAAAAAAAGACAUACCUAAACCAGCACAGGAAAAUGUACCGCAAUGAAGCAUGUGCAAUUUUAAAAAUGGAGAAAGAAGAAGCAGCAAACACUAUCCAAAAAAAUGACAAGAGAAAAUUACCUUUGAGGGAUGAGCAAUUUCAGGCCUUUUCAACAGCAGAGUAAAACAAUUAUUAAAAAAUCAGGAGAGGACAACCAUCAGGGUAGUUAAUUUUACAACUCUAUUAUGUUGAUUGAAUCAAGUUUGCUUAUAAUGAACAGCACAGGGGUAAUAUCUGCCUCUAGGAUAAACUCCAAGUAAUCCUUUUAAAUAAAACAAUAGUAUGGCUAGAUUAAAUGUCCAAGUUCUGCUGAAACUGGAGGAAGAAAUACAGGUUAAGGAAGUGCCUGAUUCCAGUCUCUGGAUGAGCCCAAGUAAAGCCUGAAGUUGCCCUCUCUGAACUGGAGUUCUUUUAUUUUUUAAUUAAAUUAUUUAUUUAUUCUUAUUUGUUAUAUAUGAUGAAAGAAUGCAAUUCAUUUCGUAUUAUGCAUAUAGAGCACAAAUUUUCAAGUCACAAAGUAUUUUCACACCAUUCCUGUCUUCACACAUGUUCUUAGGGUAAUGAUAUCUAACUCAUUCUACUGCCUGUCCUACCCCCGUGCACCCUCCUUUUCCCUCCCUCCCCUUUGCCCAAUCUAAAAUUCCUCCAUUCCUCUCAUGCUCCCCACCCCCACUGCCAUUAUGUUUCAGCAUCCUCAUAUCAAAGAAAACAUUUAGCGUUUGGUUUUGGGGAUUGGCCUACUUCACCUUAGCAUUAUAUUCUUCAACUCCUAUCUCAGAGGGAGACUUCAGGACAGAGUAUCAAAAUCUGAAAUUCCCCCAAGAAAUGAGAAAAGACUUGAUUCUCAGGAAAUCAGAACACUCACUGUUUUUUGGUCACCUGGCCUAUCCCUCACCAAUCAGAACCACUACUCCCUGAGAAGUCCAAAAGAGUCUCAAACAUACCUUAAACAGAAGUCUACUUUGGAGGCUGAAGCAGGAGGAUUGAGAGUUCAAAGCCAGCUUCAGUAACCUAGGAAUGCCCUAAGCAACUUAGCAAGACCCUGUCUCAAAAUAAAAAAUAAAAAGGGCUGGGGAUGUGGCUCAGUGGUUCAGUGCCUCUAGAUUUUAUCUCCAGUAUGAAACAAACAAAAAACCAGAAGACUAACAAUAAUGAAACAAUUCAAGACAAAGACAUCACAACACAUAUAUUACUAUCCUUACCAAGCAUAAGUUCAAAUGGGGAAUAGAGAGACAAAGACACAAAACAAAAACAAAAUACUCAAAUAAACAUAUAAAUACAAUAAACCCUAAGUCCCAAGAGAAAACUAGGGCAGAAUAAGAGGGAUAGGAAGCAAUUACUGAUUAAGAACAAAAUUAAUCUCACAAAAGAUAAAAGAAAAAUAAUACAAAGAAUAGUAGGCAAUAAAAAACUUCCAGAGUAGAAGGGUACAUUCAGCUAUUGAGAAUCUUUCUUUGCUCCCAAAACACACCAACGGUAAGUAAUACAUCAAAACAGGAAACCAGAAAGCAUUACCAGAACCCAAAAUAAGGCAAACAUCUCUCAGAACAUGAAACGUCACCAACCAGCUGUAGGACAUCCCGCUUGAUUCCAGACCAUGAAGCAGGGAGAGAGGGGAGCAUAGCUCUACAGGAAAGGGGAACCUAAAGUGCACAUUCAAAUUAGGAAAGUAGGUCCAGGGUCUCUGCUUAUUGCCUGAGGACACAGUGCUGGGGCAGCUACUUACACUAGAAAGGAGGCUGAUGAAAACUGCAGCCUAACCCUGACUGGGACAAUGAGGCUGACUGCCUCUUAAGGAUAUCAACACAUCUCAAAAAUGGAAACAAUGGCUGAGGAGCUCAACAUUUGAAUACAAAUCCAUCCACUAAAUUCCCAAAGAAAAGAAACCCAGAAUAAAGUAUAAAAUAUAAUUUGGGAAUGUGGGAUAGGGAAACUAUACUACUGUUAGUGGGAAAUCUAAAGGAACAGAGGAAGAAAACAGCAAAAUGUAAGUAAUCAAAAUGAGUUUUCAACUGAAUUCUAAAACACUUGACAAAAAUUAAGACCAAAAAGUUGAAAAACAAAAUCAAUAAACAGAAAUGAAUUACAUUCAGAUUAAAUCAAUAUCAUAGGGGACGAAGGCAAAGUGUUUAAAAUAACACUAUCAUACUCAAAGAAAUAACAUAUUUAUGAUGAUGAUAGCAAUGGUAAUGAUUAUGGUGUCACAACUGAUUGAAACUUACAGACUACUUACCUAAUAAUUGAAAACCUGCUGUAUGUUAAUCAUUGUUUUAAGCAUUUUACAUGAAGUACAUAUAUAUUCCUUGCAAAAUCCACACAAUAAUUUAUGAGGCAGAUAUUUAUACUAUUCUGAUUCUGUUUAUAAGGAAAUCAAGGCAAAAUCAAGUCAAAUAAGUUUAUAGUAACACAGCUGUAGCAAACCCAGGCAGGCCGGCCUCCAGAGUAUAUAAUUUAACUAGAUCAUACUGUCUCUCUGAAGGAAGGAAGAAAAGGUAACAAAAUCUAUUUAGAAAUAAUGAACUAUGAAACACAUGGGGAAAAAUAAAACUAGAAUUUAAUAUAUAAAGGGAAAUAUUGGAAAUGAAAAAAUACUUAUACAAAUAAAAUUAAAUAUACGUGAUAAAGUUUGGAUUAGGCAAAGCAAAUUAGAAAAGCAGAAAAUGACAAGCACUGGGAAUUCAUUUAGAAUGUGGCACAGAUAGAUGAAGAGACUUAAAAACAACAUGAAAGAGGAGUUAUGUCACAUGAAGGACAGAUGGAGAGGUUCCAAUAAUUGAUUAUUAGGAGUUCCAGAAGAAGAGAAUAAAGGGAACAUUAUAUGCAAUGUAGGAUGAAAUAACAGCGGGGAAUCUUAAGAACUAAAGACAGAUAUGCGUUUUUCAAAUCCCAAGCUUUCCUGAAACAUAGGAUGGAUUAAAAAGGAAAUAAACAUAUAAGCUUAUCAAAGCUUAUCGAACACAUGAGGUUAUCAAAAAAUCACAAAAUAUUACCAAAAAAUGACAUUCUUGUAGUAAUAGAUACAGAGAUAAUAUAUAGAAAAGAAGUGGAAACGACAACUAGACAGCAGAGUUCUCUUUAGUAAGAGUGACUCCUAAGAGAUAAUGGUUUUAAAAGAACUAAAAGACAAAUAAAGCUAGAACCCAGUCUUCAACUGAGACUGUAUCAUGGACUCAUACUAUAGACUGUGCCUUUUUACCGAAGAAUGACACUGCUGCCCAUCCAUUGAUUAAAAGACAUAUGACUCACUGUGGCCAAUAAAGUAAGAAGAGAAAUGACAUGUACCCCUUCUGAAAAGAGCUUUCCACAACAGUUUGGAUCUGGGUCUAGGUCUUUCAUCUUUGCUACAAAAAGAUGUGUUCCAAACCAGAACUGCUCUAGUCUGAUUCCCACAACAAGCAGACACAUGCAGCUGACUAAAGUCAAUAUGUGAUAUGGGCAGAAAAUAUGUGUUGGUAGUGAAAAGUUGUAACAAGAGGAUAAAAUAAAGACAUUUCUAGAUAUACACCUCGUUUCCACUGCUGCAAGCAAAAGACCUGAUAUGAAUAAUUUCAGAGGAAAAGUUUAUUUGGGGGUCAUAGUUUCAGCGGUCUCAAUCCAUAGGUGGGUGACUCCACCACUCUGGGCCCAAAGUAAAGAACAACAUGGUAGAAGGGUACAGGAGAGAAAAGCAGCUCAAGAUAUGGCCACCAAGAAGCAGAAGGAAAGCUCUCCUCUCCACAGACAAUAUAUAAACCUCAAAGUCAUGCCCACAAUGACCAACCUUCUAGAGGAACACCCUACUGCCUACAGUUACUAUCCUGUUAAUCCCUCUCCGGCAGAUCAAUGCACUGAUUAGGUUAAGGUUUUUCAUUAACUGAUCAUUUCACUUUGCAUUGUCUCACACAUGAAUUUUUAGAGGACAUCUCCUAUCUAAAUCAUACCAUACAUAUACUAAGAGACUUUACUAAUCACAAACCCUUGCUGAAAAAAAUGAAAAGGAUUAAUAAACUAUUUCAGAACAAAGAGAAAAACAAGGCAUGGUGUAGGAUAUAAGAAAUAAAUGUAGAUUAAAAAUUUAAAAAUCUCAUUGUUUAUGAUUUUCUUUCAAAUAUAAAAGAAGAAUAAAUUGUAUACCAUUAAAAACAUCAAAGAUGGGAUUGGGGAAAUAUCAGUUCAAUUCAAGUCAAAAAAAGAAAGGAAAAAAGUGACGACUAACAAAAACUACCCAAGAGUGAUGGCAGAAAUAAGUCCAAAUAUAUUGUUAGACCCAAUAAAUACAAAUGAAAUACAUUUACUUACUAAAGACCCAUGAUUUACAAACCAAUAAAAAAACCCGUCUGCUAUGUAUAAAAAUCCCAUCUAAUGACAAUAUGAAAUUGAUGAGAAAAAUAUAGCACAAAAUUAUAAACCACAAAAAAGUCAUGUGGCAUUAUUAAUAUCAAAGAAAAUGAAAUUUUAACAUUAGCAUACAUAAAAAGAGUAAGAAACUACAUAUUUUUAAAUACAAGCCACAAAUAAUGAACUUCUAUGUUCUAUGUACUUAGCAACAAAGACUCAAAAUAUGAACAUAAAAAUUUUAAUAUAGCUAUUCACAAUCUUAUUAGGGAAUUUAAAACAUGUUAUAUCAGAAACAGUGUGAACAGUCAAAAAUAUGCAUAGAAUUAAUACAGUGUUACAUAAAUAUGAAGAAAAUGCAGAAGGUACAUAGGCUUAUUUCAAACCUGUCUUUUCCUAAAAAAAUCACAACUCUGGCUUGACAAACAUCUUGGAUAUGAUUAUACUUACAGAAAUUUUUCAUGUUUAUCCAAGAUUUAUUUUGUGAAAAAUUGAGGAAAUCAACUUAACUUAAAUCAAGUAUGGAUUAUGUUCCAAUUCACUGUAAUACAAUUUUAUAAAUUAAAAACUUUAUUAGUAUUCAUAGAUUAUUUAGUACAAAGAACAAUCAAAUACUGGAAAAAAUAAGGAUACUCAUUACCUUAUUACUCCCAAUAGCUUUACUGAAUAAUUACUGAUAAUUUAAAAUUUUAAUAUAUGUAGGGCAUAUAACCUGGUAUUCUAGCUUAAGUAUACCUUGGGCAAUGAAUUUUGCUAUCAAACUAAUUAACAUAUCCAUCAUCUCACACUUACUGCAUGUGUGUGUUGAGAACACUUAAGACCUACCUAUUCUAAGUAAGUUUCAGGAUACAAUAUCAUAUUAAUAACUAUACACCCCAUGCUGUACAUUAGAUCUUCAGAACAUAUACAUUUUGUAACAGAAGCUUGGUACCCCUUGACCAGCAGCUCUCCAUUUCCCCAAAAUCUUCAGCCUUGGCAAACCAUCAUUCUACUCUUAUUCUCUAAACUUGACUUUUUGUAGGCCAUUUAUAAGUGAUAUCAUGAAAUUUUUGUGUUUAUGCACCUGGUUUAUUUCACUUAGCAUAAUAUCCUUCAAGUUUGUCUGUGUUGUGACAAACAGCAGUAUUUUCUCUUUUUUUAAAGGCUGAAUGAAUAAUCUUCCAUUGUAUAUGAUAUGAAAGUUGCUUGAAUCAAAGAGAUUUAUUUCAACCUUUUAUUAUAACAAUAAUAAAUAAAUAAACCUAAGAUAUUAUGAAAGAAUGCCUGAUAGUAACUGUCCAAAUGAGCACAAAACAAACAAACAAACAAACAAACAAAACCCUGCCAAAACAUCAGACUUGCAUAGAGGCCACCACAAACACCACAAGAAGUACCUCUACAAGCACAUCUUCCCAAACACUUAAUGUUCAAACUCAAAUUAAUUCCAUUCUUGUUAUUUAUCACUGAGGCCAAGAAUUACUAUUUCAAAAUACCUGGUAUAAUUCUCAACUUUUGUCAUUAAAAAUGUUCCCUUACCUUGACCUCUUCAAAUAUACCUAUGCUUAACUAUGGGAAAAGUAUUCACUUUAUAGUAUAUUGUUAUUCCUCAAAAACAUCUUUGUUCUUUGGAGAAUCUUUUUUUUUUUUAAUUUAGACCCACAAUAGGUACCUAAUUUCUUGAAGUGGUUACAUGCAAAUGGACAUUUAAGUUGUUUCCAUAUCUUGACUAUUGUAAAUAAUGCUGAAAUGAACAUGAGUGCUGCUCCCUCUUCAACAUACUGAUUUUAUUUACUUUGGAUAUAUACCUGGAAUUGGGACUGAUAGAGCAUAUAUAUAAUAGAUCAAGAUUUUAAUUUUUUGAGGAGGGCCCUCAUACUAUUUUCCAUAAUGGCUGUACCAGUUAUAUUCCCCACAACAGUAUACAAGGAUUCCCUUUUUGUUACAUUAUCAACAUUUGUUAUUUCUUGGCUUUUUGAUAAUAAUAAUCCUAAUGUGUGUGAUGUGAUUUCUCACUGUGUUUUCAAUUUACAUUUUCCUGAUGUUAGGCACUUUUUCAUAUAUGUGCUAGGCAUUUCCAGAACUUCUCUGGAUAAAUUUCCAUUGCUGUCCUUUUCCCAUUUUGAAAACAGAUUGUUUAGCAAUUAAGUGAUAUAAGUUCUUUUCACGUUUUGUUUUGUUAUUGAUGGGACUGGGGAUUGAAUGCAGGGGUGCUUUAAUUCUAACUAUACCCUAGUCCUUUAUAUUUUCUUUUCUUUCUUUUUUUCUUUGAGACAGGGUCUUUCUCACUAAACUGCUGGGAGUUUCACUAAAUUACUAAGAAUAACCUCAAACUUGUGAUCCUGCUGCUUCAGCCUUCAGAAACACUGGGAUGACAGGGGUGCACCACAGCACAUGGCUUAAUAUUUUGAAUAUUAAUCCCUUAUCAGAUAUACAGUUCACAAACAUUUUCUUCUAUUCCACAUAUUUCCUUUUAUUUUGUUCAUUAUAUCCUUUUUUUUGCACAGAAGGCUAUUAAUUUUAGUCUAAAGAUCUACCACCAUUUAAAAAUAAUAUAAACCUUAAUUAUUAAAAAAUUCUUAUCAAGCUAGGCAAGGUGGAACACCUGUAAUCCGGAGACAUGGGAUGCUGAGGCAGGAGGAUUGAGAGUUCAAAGCCAGCUUAGCAAGCCCCUGAGCAACUCAGUGAGACCCUGUCUCUAAAUAAAAUAUUUUUAAAAGGGGGGUGGUGCUGGGUAUGUUACUCAGUGGGUAAGCACCCCUAGGUUCAAUCCCUGGUACAAAAAAAAAAAUCUUAUCUAAGUGAAAGAGAUUCUAUACAUUUUAAUCUCUAUGGAACUUUGAUUCAAUAAUAUUUACCUUAAGCUGUAAUAAAAGAAUUUAGUUGCUUUUUCCUUCUUUUAAUUUCUAUUAAACCAAAGAAUCCUUACUUAAGCCAACAAGUCAUCAGAGAACGACUACCAUCAUGUGCCUAGGGCACUGAACAUAAUCAGAUCAAACACAGACCCACAAAUCGCAGAGAUCUGUCAUAAACAAUGACUUCUGGCAUUAUUCCAAAUGAUAAGUUAUCAAUACAACAUAUUAAAGUUAGAAGGCUGAAUAUCUACGAAAGGGAAAUAAAAGCAAAUAUCUAUAAAUGGUGGUCUAUUAAACUGAUUCUUUUUUAAUUAAAUGGAGCAAAUGAAAAAUACCACUCAUUUCUCUAUAGUUAAAUCUCCUUGAAUGGUAGUUAAGGUAUUAAUGGUUUCCAAAAAUUCUCAACAAAUGCUGAGUAUUCUGACAGACUAACUCAUGGUUCAUCUUUAAAGAAAGUAUCACAAGACAGACAUCUAGCAAAGAAUAGCAAACCUAACAUCAAUUUAGUCAUUCUUUAACCUUGCACAAGGACACAACUACUGCCUCUAUGAUUAAAAUAGGACCCAUAGACUUUUCUACUGUUUGUAAGUAAUAAAAAGUAAAAGUCCUUUCUCUGCCCAAGACAAGCAUUGGGGAAUAAACAAAACUAAGCAGGCAAUCUACUAAUGAAAGACCAAAAAAAGGGUUGGAUAUGUGAACAAUUCAAACUGAAAUUCACCACCCUUUGCCAGCUUGGUAAAUUGGAUGCUUUAUUUUAAUGAGCCAUGGAGAAGGACUGAUUGAUUACAGGGGAUGUUGCUUUAUGGUUUACUGUUCACAAAUCACUGAUCUCCUUAUUGUAUUGUCUAUAUAUAGUAAUCUGUUUUCUCCUUCUUGACUUUUUUGGGAAAAGAGAAGAGAGGACAGGUGGGGACAAUUUUAUAUCUUCAAAAUUAUCGUCACAUAUCAAAACUGACAGGCUUUUGAAGUUUAAAAGCACCUUUCACAAUUCCAAUUUGGUAAAAGCAAAAGCACAGAUUUAGAGCAAAGAGAUGACACAUACAGAUUCUGACCUUGAGGCCUAGUACCCUCCUAUUAUAAAUUACAUAUUUUAAGUUUAUUUCUCUGGAAAUCUCAAUAGGACCUAUAAGCUACUUAACAGAUGUAAUAUAAGCAACUAUAGAUUUGUUACAAAUAAACUCAAACAAGGAAGAAACUUUUAAGAAUAAUCUUCACAAGAAGCAUAGAAGUCCUCUCUUGCUCCUCUCUGAAGUUAACUUUACAUUACCAUUAACAAACUGUGAAAUAUUUAUUAACAAAAGAAACUAUGUACUGAAAGUGAACGAUAAAAUUCUCUUAAAACAAACAAUACAACUGAAUUGCUAUGAUGAUACUUGGUAUAUGCAAUUACAUGUUGAAAUUUGGUUUCUAAAAAAGGCAGCCGGAAAGAUGACCAACAAAUAAAUCCCACAGUCAAGUUCUUUAAGGUAAAAUAUUCAGUUAUAAUGUACGUGUACUUGGAGGAGGAGAAUCUAUAACAAUAUUGAACUAAAUAUAUCUUUAAUUUCCUAUGCUUUUAACAGUUUCCUAGGUCCCCUGUUUUUCAUUGUCAAGUGAUAGACAGUGCCCAUUCAUGUCCACUAAAGACACAUCUGUAGUAUUGUUUAUUGUUCAAUUUCUUCUAAAUUUUCUUUUACCUCUAAACGAAUUGGUUAGGUUCAUUUCACAACAAUACCCUAUGCUUUAUAAUUCAAUAAUGCUGAUUUUCUAAUUCAAAAGUUAUACAGUAUUGGGAGAAAUAUUUUAUUAAUACAAAACUAAGCAAUGAUGGAAAUGUAAUAUAUUUCAACGUAAUCACUACCUUGAAGAUUAUGAAAUUAAAUGAAUAUAAUGAAAAAUACUUAAGGAAAUUUAAUUUCUUCUUCCUGAAAAUAAUUCAUUUUCAAACUCAAGUGUUAAAACUUUGAUUGCUGAGUUUUAAGGUUACAAAAAGGUGAGUGAUGGUUAGAAUACUUAGAAAUGAGAAGUAAACAUAAAUGUACAACAAGACAUAUAUAACAGCACUUCUCAAACUUGAGUUCUUCCCCUGAAAUCUAUUUUAGAACAAUAAUUAACAGUAACAGAGAGUUUAUAGUCUUAGCAAAAAAUUUAAAAACUAACAAUUCUAGUAGAAGAUUUACAUAAUUAUGAGUCAAUUUAAAAUAACUCUUCUGGGAUCAUAAAGAGCCCUUUGUCAUAUUUCUUUGUACAAUUAAAGGAAACAAUAACAUUCAUUAAAAGAAAGAAAUUAACAUUCCUUGCCUUACUAAAACUAUUGUUUCAAAAAAAAGCUGAUAAACAUUUUAAAAUGUAUUAAAGAAAGGAAUAUCAUGCUUGAAACGUAAAGUUCUUGCCACCUAUAAUCCUGGCCUAACUUUGGUUUCCUGAAGGAGAUAUCUAUGCCUUCAUCUUCCUUUCUUUAUCUGUUUCUAUUUUUUAAGCAUGAGAAUGUUAGAAAAGAUAAGCUUCUUAAAAAAAUCUCAGAAAAUAAGUAACAAAUUCAAGAAUUUUGAAGUCUUCAUUUCAAAAACAGUAAAUAAAGUAUUUUGAAUCACUGGUCAAUUAUAAGAAAUGAAGUUUCUGAUUGGCAAAUUGUGAAUCUAUAUAGAAAAUAAAAUUAAAUAAAUAAAAAUGAACAGUAAAGUCUAAUUGCUUUUCUUUCUCUGGAGAGAAAAUUUUUUAGAGUUCCUUGAGUACUCAUUUUAUUUUUUUUUCACCCAGAAAAAUGCACAUAUUUGGGGCACUGACAACUGGGAUCAGAAUAGUUGGAUUUUCAUGCAGAAUUUGACAAAUCAAUCAUGUGAUCUCUGAACUUAAUGGGAUAACAAUAUCUCCAUCAAAGUACAACUGAAAAGACUGGUGUGUAGAAAAAAGUCAAUGAAGAAUUUUAAUAUAAUAAUGAUUAAUUAUUCAUUGCCUUUUUCAUUCUUAUUAUACAGAUUUUAGAAAUCAGAUCACAGUAAAGAUUUUCCAUGUCUGCUCACUAAAAAUCAUCCUAAAGAGACAAUGCCCAAAGUUUGUAAUAUAUUCUGUGAUUUCCACAAAAUGUAUUGCAAGCUUCUGAAAAUAUUCAAAAUCAAAUGUGAGACAUAUAUUAAAACAGGUAAGAAAAAAGUUUAAGGAAUCAAUUUUCUUCUCCUUAUAAGGAAAAAUGCUUUGUUGAGGUUUUAGAAAACCACUAUGUGGUUUUAGGUGAAGAAGAACUAUGCUUUGAAAAAUGUGUACAUGAUAUAUUAUAACAGGUAUGUAUGCACGAGAAAAAAAAGAAAUAUUUCAGCAUAUCUUGCUUUAUUUCCACCACAUAUAUUGCCACGAACUACCUCUCUCUCUCUCUCUCUCUCUCUCUCCCUCUCUCUCUCUCUCCCCCUCCCUCUCCCUUUCCCUCUCUCUCUCUCUCUCACACACACAUACACACAAAUAAGAUAAAACAAUCACAAAUGGUUUAAACUCCAGAGACCAUGUUUCAUAUUUUCCUCCAUAAAGUGUCCCAAACAUCUUGCUCCAUUGCAUAAUUGCAAUAUACUACUAUAAUUUUCUGUUACCCUGUAUGGAUACUACUCUCCACAGAAUAUUACUUACAUCCUAUUUCAUGUGUAGACCUAUAUAGUAAGGAUCAAAUGGAAAUCCCUUUGCUCUAAAUUAAUAAACUAUUAACUAUAGCAUUUUGCUUUCAUCUAACAAUCACUACCAAUCAUUUUUAGCCUUUCCUUCUCCCAUAUUUAAACUUUCAAAUUUAAAUCAUUUAUUCAUUCUUUUUCAUUUGUUAAAAAUUCCAAACAUAUACAAAAGUAGAGAUUAUCAUACAAUGCCGUUCUAUUCAUACUGUUUUGAUAGACAUUUGAAUACUUUUCUAUUUUGCUAUAAUAAAUAAUUCUGCAAACAUUGUUGCACAUAUCAUGAGUCACAAAUUAGAAAGAGGUUCUCUUGGGUAAUGCAUAAGAGUUAAGAGCUUUACAGUUACUGUAGGUGAAUAUUAAACUUUAUAAGAUAAUAUAUUUUAUUCAAGGGAAGUUCUACAAAUUUUGACUACCUAAACAAUUCACAAAACUCUGAUGAUUCAUCCUCUUGUAUACUGUAAAUCAUCAUCUGCACUCUCGUGUUCAUGAAGCACUGCUCACAACUGCCAUGAAUGGAAACAUCCAAAGUAUCCAUCAACUAAUAUAUGGAUAAAGAAACUGUAGUGUAGAGGUAAAAUGGAACAUUAUUCAGUCAUAAAAAGUAAAUCCUGCCACUUGCAAUAACAUGGAUGGAACUGAAGAUUGUUACAUGAAAUAAGUCAGGCACAGACACGUACUAGAUCUUGCUCAUACAUGGAAUAUAAACAAAUUGCUCCCAUAGAAGUUGAGAACAGAAUGGUGAUUACCAAAGUCUGAGAGGGUUAAAUGACUGAUCAGUGGGUAUUUAGUUAUAGUAAAAGAUAAGAAUAAGAAGUUCUGGUGAGCUAUUGAACAUUAGGGUGACAAGAAAAUUAUCUGAUUAAUGCACGUACUCUCAAAACAACAUUUAUUCUUUAAUAUGUACCUUGCCUCAUUUAAAAAAUAUUUUUGGAUGAGUAGAAGUACAGCCAGCCCAUAGUAUCUACAAGUUCCACAACUACAAAUUCAACUAACCAGACAUUGAAUAAAAAUUGCAUAUGUACUGAACAUGUACAAAUAGUUUUUCCCUUGUCAAUAUUCACUAGACAAAAUAGUAUAAAACUAUUUACAUAGCAUUUAUGUUAUAUGAAGUAUUAUGGGUAUAAAUGCUAUUUAGAGAUGAUGAUUUACAGUAUACAAGAGGAUGUGCAUGCUAUAUGCACAAAUUGUACUAUGUCAUUUUAUAUAAGGGAUUGAGCGUAUGGAUAUCUCUGACAGGGAGGUUGGGGCAGGGUAGUCCUGGGACCAAUACUCAUGGAUAAUAAGAAAUAAGCAUAUUUAUUUUUAAGAUAUUCUUAACUGUUGAUAUAUAAGGCUACCUUAUUUAUCAACAGUUAAGAAUAUCUUAAAAAUAAAUAUGCUUAUUUCUUAUUAUCCNUAAACAACUCAGUGAGACCCUGUCUAUAAAUAAAAUACAAAAAAAGGACGGGAAUGUGGUUCAUUAGUGGAGUUCCCCUGAAUUCAAACCCUUGUACAAGAAAAAAGAAAAAAUAAAUAAAAACAAUUUAAACACCGAGGUAAUUUUAAUCCAAAUAUAGUUUGGAUGUAACUGAAAAAAAGAAAAAAACAGUAAAGGGUGAAGAAAAAAUGAUGUUACUUAGGUUAAAAAAAAAUCAAUUCAGAGAACUUGCUUUACUCAUAGAGAAGUAGAAAAACCCUUUCCAAAUUUUUAAAUUUUUAAAUUUAAUUUUCCUUUAGGAAAACAUUCCAAUUCAGAUAAUGACCUAGAGUUGGUGGAAUGUGUAAUUUACUCUAGGGUGUUUGAGUUUGAUAAAAAGACAAAGUGAAAGAUUUAGAUAUAUAACAAAAACAACAAUAUUAUUUACCUUACAACAUGUUAAAGUCACGAAACCUUCAUAAUAUUUGAAGCAUUUGAUUGGCAUUCAAACAACAAAUAAUUUAGAACUAUUAGGGGAAAAAAAAGUUUCAAUACUCCAAAAUAUAUUUAAGACACCAUUUGUAGGUUUUAGAAUUAUAGAGUCUCAAACAUAGAAAGCUAAGAUAAACUAAUCUAUAUUUUUCAGAUUUUCUUGGCUUAUGAAAAAGCUUGUCAACAGCUACCUGCCCUCUAUUUUGAACAUGGACAGUUGCUCUCUACAAGAUAUAUGUGCUCAAGGGGAAAUUACACAGCAGUGGAAGUCAUGAGGAACUGCCCAUCAGUUAAGCAUGGAUUCCCACAGGUGACCUGAAAGCCCCAUUUCAAUUAAAAUGAAAUGGAAGUGCAUGUUUACUCCAGAUUUUCUAUCACUUUUUUCUUGACUGCAAUCAUUGGGGAUCAUCUGUAAUCCUGCUGUGCAAGAAAAUAAACUCAAAUACUACCUUGUAUAAAAG
rnacentral:lncRNA from 1 species